rnacentral:misc_RNA from 1 species
ACACCUCAACUCAUUAUGGUUUUCCAUGGUGAGCUUGGACUUUGGGGGUUUUGCUGGCCUAUGGUUGGCUCCUCUAAAAUAAAUCAGCUUACCGGUGUUUGGUGGGUAUCAUGGGUGUGAUAACUAUCUACGCUUGUGGUUUUUCCACCAGGUAACCUUCAGCAGUGGAGGUUCACUGGAGCUCAUAGAUGGUCUCUCCUCAGUGAGGACAGCCCUUUGAAU